rnacentral:rRNA from 1 species
UACGUAGGGGGCAAGCGUUAUCCGGAUUUACUGGGUGUAAAGGGAGCGUAGACGGUGAUGCAAGUCAGAAGUGAAAGCCCGUGGCCCAACCACGGGACUGCUCUGGAAACUGUGUUGCUGGAGUGCAGGAGGGGUAAGCGGAAUUCCUAGUGUAGCGGUGAAAUGCGUAGAUAUUAGGAGGAACACCGGUGGCGAAGGCGGCUUACUGGACGAUGACUGACGCUGAGGCUCGAAAGCGUGGGGAGCAAACAGG